GUUGACACCAAAUGUUUUGUUUACGUUUUUCGGUUCUCGGAUCUUUUAGAUAAAUUCGUCGCAAGAGGCAAACUGGCUCGCGGUUACGCAUUAAUCUCGCGCUGCACUUUCGGUCGUCAAACCAACGAUAUCGCGAUGGUGGCCAAGUGUCUUGCCGGCACCUUCAAUCCACCGGCGGGAAAUAAAUACGCAAACUGCGAGCAUCACUGGACCAACAACUAUCAAGACGGAGCAAGGAUCCGAUGAAACCGCGGCUCCACAAAAUAACCAGGCCUCCACAACUAACCCCCGUCACCAAACUUGAAAAUCCGGAGAAGAAAUCUAUCACCGAGUGACUGAAACCAUGCGACCGCUCCGGAGGAGUUUCAGGCUUUAUGCUCCACUUUUUGCAGAAUGUUUCCUUUCACUACAAGGUUGGUCUUUGAAAUUUAAUAUGAAAUUGUGAUUAAAUUUGUUUUUGGAACCAUGCUCUAAAAAUGCUCGUAACCGGACGAGACACUGAGCAUCCAAGCAUCCAAGAAAAAGUUGUCUGUAGAUUGCAAUUUAGAAGAAAGCCCCAGUCACUGGCUGCCGGUUGGAGGUUCAAGGAUCGACACAAAGGCAAUUCCACGUCCCCCAGCUUCGUGAUGAACCUUGGCUGACUUCCAAACGAAAAACAUCGAAAGAACUUAACUGCAGGGGUGCCAGGUGAUUUUGUUAAAAAUCAGGAUACCGCGUAGCCAAAAAUCAGGAUUAUUCAGGACACCGCUUGAUUCAUAUAUGAAUCUAUAGAAAAGUAAGCAGCUCUGCAUAGAUUUCAUAAAUAUAGGCGCAAUACAGAUGCUGUAAAUGCCUUGAUUUAUGAAACAGUACGCAGCUUCUUAGCUGGUCUAAAACUCAUAUUGAAAAACACCAUUUCAAUAUCAUCUGAACUGAAGAUUACCAUCUGUUAAAUGGGUCUAACUAUUUUAUAACAGAUUUAUUCGAUUUUCUCAUAGUUAAUCUACAAAUUUGAUUACAUUUGAAAGGUUUUCAUGAAAAUCAGGACAAUUCAGGACAUUUUUGGGACCAAUUUUCAAAAAUCAGGACAACUCGAGAGUUUUUGGAAAAUCAGGACGUUCCCUCGAAAAUCAGGACAAAUCCUGAUAAAUCAGGACACCUGGCACCUCUGCUUAACUGCCCUGUUACCUCGAUUCUAACCCAGUUCGACUUGAGAGACGAGUGUGGACUACAACUGCUAUGGAUUUGGUGAGGCUCCUUCAGCUGUGUACUCGGAGUUCUACUAAGGAUACUGCUUCGGAUCGCAGAUGCUGUUGGCGAGUGGUUGCAUGAUUACGAUAUAUACGGCUGUGGAUACAGCUGAACAUAUGACGCAGGCAAUCAACCUCUCUUGUUGACCAAAAGAAGUACAUGCUUGUCAACUUCAAAAACUUAUGGCAGAUCAAAAACAGCCAACUUCCGAUGGUAGCCCUCAUUAGUAAGUAGACACAACCUUUAAUAGAACAUAGGGAGACACAUCAACUAGCUCAAUUUGUUCUGGUGAAUUCCAUUUUGUAAUUUUUAUUAUUAAUAAUUGUUCGAAUUCGUAUCCGACUUUUUAUUUCAAUUAGGUAUAACGUUCUUUUUUUUAAUCGAAAAUAAAGGCCUACAUUAGGUAUACCUAUUACGUGAAGCUUUCAGUGCUAAGCCAUUCGGUUAUUUUUUGUUAGCUUGCUCUUGACGACCAACUAUUCCUUGAAACAAUCCUUACUGCACCAAAAGAUUGUGCCGCACAAAUGCAAUCGCUUAAAUUUUCUUCUCCUCAGAAAGUGCUUCUGUAAAGCGAGUAAAGCUGUCGGAUCGAUUGAAAUGAGUCAAAUAAUUAUUGAAAGCUUGUAAAUGUAACCAUGUAAAUAAAAUAAAAUUAAACAACCAAAUGUGGCCUCAAAAUGCCCCAGCUCGUUGUUCAAAUUAAGUUGAAAAUUAUAACCUCAAUUGUUUCUCAAAACAAUAUUUUCAAUAAUAAUGUGAUCUCUGGAAAAACCCAUUUUAGAAAUAAAAGGAUAUGC